CCGGAUGAUGUGGGAUGUUACAAGCAAGAAGAAUGGUCUGAGGGUAAAAAAUUUUAAAUUUUGAUUCGUACUGAAAAUCCUAAAUUUUUGUGGGACAAAAACUAAGGCUAUCUCGAAUCCGACCAAAGGAUCAUAAAGUCGAAAAUAAUCUGAAAUAACACGAAAAUCAUCUCUAAUUAAGAAAUAAGCCAAAAAACUCAUAGCCCCACGAGACAAAAAAAGAGGAAUCAGGCAAACCGGCUGGUCCAAAGAAGCCAGCCAGCUAGCCGCAGGUUGACUUCCUCCAUCUCCCAAACACGUUCCGUACAAUGUGCAUCUCCCCAACGAGUAUAGCAAAACCUGUGUCUUGUGAAAGAGACGCGAAACAGGGCCGUAUCGGCCGGCGCACGGGCUGAUUGUGCCGCUGCUGGUGAAGACAAUUCUGAAGAUCUUGGAUCGGGCGACGGAGUACGCGGCGGGAGAGCCGCUGUUGCUGUGCUAGAAUACCUCGCCGUUGAGGUGUUGGAGCUCGCUGGAAACGCUGCAAGGGACAACAAGAAGAACCGCAUUAUUCGUGGCCCGAGUGCCCUUUUGAAAUUUCACUUUUUUUUGUUUUUUUGUUUUUUGUUUUUUUUUUUUUCUAUUUCUCAUUAAUUUUCUUAAUCUCUAAUUUUCAGAUUUUUAGUAGAAAAAAGAAGAAGAAAAAGGAAAGUAAAAUUGAGGUUGUAGAUUAUUGGUAUAUAAAAAUAUUGUAAUUUUUUGUGUAUUUUGUAUGUAAGCAUUUUUGUUUAGAUUAUUGGUAUAUAAAAAUAUUGUAAUUUUUUGUUUGUCUCUCUGUGUGUGAUUAGUUUGUUUUUGUUUUA